rnacentral:rRNA from 1 species
AGGGUUCGAUUCUGGCUCAGGAUGAACGCUGGCGGCGUGCUUAACACAUGCAAGUCGAACGGGAUCCAUCGGGCUUUGCUUGGUGGUGAGAGUGGCGAACGGGUGAGUAAUGCGUGACCGACCUGCCCCAUGCUCCGGAAUAGCUCCUGGAAACGGGUGGUAAUGCCGGAUGUUCCACAUGAUCGCAUGUGAUUGUGGGAAAGAUUCUAUCGGCGUGGGAUGGGGUCGCGUCCUAUCAGCUUGUUGGUGAGGUAACGGCUCACCAAGGCUUCGACGGGUAGCCGGCCUGAGAGGGCGACCGGCCACAUUGGGACUGAGAUACGGCCCAGACUCCUACGGGAGGCAGCAGUGGGGAAUAUUGCACAAUGGGCGCAAGCCUGAUGCAGCGACGCCGCGUGAGGGAUGGAGGCCUUCGGGUUGUAAACCUCUUUUGUUUGGGAGCAAGCCUUCGGGUGAGUGUACCUUUCGAAUAAGCGCCGGCUAACUACGUGCCAGCAGCCGCGGUAAUACGUAGGGCGCAAGCGUUAUCCGGAUUUAUUGGGCGUAAAGGGCUCGUAGGCGGCUCGUCGCGUCCGGUGUGAAAGUCCAUCGCUUAACGGUGGAUCUGCGCCGGGUACGGGCGGGCUGGAGUGCGGUAGGGGAGACUGGAAUUCCCGGUGUAACGGUGGAAUGUGUAGAUAUCGGGAAGAACACCGAUGGCGAAGGCAGGUCUCUGGGCCGUCACUGACGCUGAGGAGCGAAAGCGUGGGGAGCGAACAGGAUUAGAUACCCUGGUAGUCCACGCCGUAAACG